CCAGUCACACCAUCUAUUUCUACCUUGGGCUUCUGUUUAUGGUCUAAGUGUGCCAAACAUCCAGACUAAAUGAAAAUAUACCCUCCAGGAACCACGCACGGCAUCUCUCAUAACAAGCUGCAGCACCUCUCGGAAGCACGGCUGCUAUGUCGUGGGGAAUCCAGGGAAUCUUUAGCUUAACUCGCUGUGCCUUCGAGCCUCGAGCCUCGAGGAGGAAUGGAAAGUGAGCGGUACAGGAUGAAUCAUGUGGGCGGGUGAUUGUCAUACUUACGUCUCUCAUUUUGAGGGAAAAGGAGCAUUGGUUCAGGAACAGAUUAGGUCUCCCUGGGAUAACUGGGAUUUGUGGGAGCAAUCUUGGCAAUGGCAUGGGCCAGUUAGACUUCGGAUACUGAGAGGAAUGUGGAAAUGCAAAUGGCACCAAGGAAGUGCACAUAAGUUCAUGGAUGAUGGAUCCAAUGUGGAAUCAGGGAACGCUUGGGUCACACCCUUAACCAGGCCUUAUCUCUGAGGGAAGAAGACAACUGCCUAUCCAGCUUGAGCUGAUGUCCUCCAACAUCCUGUCACUGGUCAGUAAAGAUGUCUGAGGGUUUCACUGUAAUUAUUUCUUUGGGUAUGGGAGGCACCUGUUAAAAGGUAAACAUGUUCUCAGGGAGGAAUAACCAGAUAUUCUUCAGAAUUGAGAACAUUCAUGAGAAUUAGACUGUCUCAUAUGAUAGCCUGAGAGAAAGCUUGGAAGCUUGGUAUGCUGCAGCUGUGCAUGAGAAAAACAUUCUUCACACAGUGCUGGAGCUACUGUCAUACCCAACAGCCUGUUCUGGGGAGUGAGCCAGCUUCCUACUAAGUGUGGUUAGAGGGCCACAUGCUCUCUUUAUAAAACUAAAUUCUUAGGAUAGUAUUUAGAGUUGCCUUUCUCUUCUUCUGGUUUUAUUUCUCUUCUUGGGAAUGGUCUUGGUUUUCCUCUCUGCAUUCCUUGCAGGGUGUGGAAGGUCUCCCCACAUAUCCACCUCUGCAUCCCUUGCUUUCUUUCUGGGAUUCGUUGCACGGCUUAGAGCCUCGCUGGACAGAAGGGUGCCACCUCAGGAACAGGCAGUCUUCCCGCCUUUAGAAAGUUUUUCUGGGAGAGAGUUGGCCAUCUACCUAUGCCUCACCCGCAGCCCAUUCAGUGCGGCGACUUAGGAACAGAGUCCCUGAAGCUGUUCUGUUGGAUCUGCCGUCAAGGCAAUAACAGUGGGACACCAACAGAGAAAGGGUAGACAGCAGGCUCCCUUAGUGGGUAAACGGGACCCUGCCAAAUAGUGAACAAACAGAGGAAGAGGGACUCUGAAGUCAAGGAAUAUCAGAAAGUACCAAUGAGAAACAAGUAGAACUGGAGGUAGAAAGAAGUCACAUAGACUCUGCUUCAAACUCAGCAACUUGUGCCAUCUUGAAGUUACUUAAUGUCUUUGAGCUUGAAUUUUCUUUUACAAAUGAUGUUAGUGAUAUCUGUUCAUGAGGUGUAAUUAAAAACA
rnacentral:lncRNA from 1 species